GGACUACUGGGGUUUCUAAUCCUGUUCGCUACCCACGCUUUCGUGCCUCAGCGUCAGUUUGAGUCCAGAGAGCCGCCUUCGCAACUGAUGUUCCUUCCGAUAUCUACGCAUUUCACCGCUACACCGGAAAUUCCGCUCCCCUCUACUCAACUCUAGAUGGACAGUCUUAAUUGCAGUUCCUAGGUUAAGCCCAGGCCUUUCACAACUAACUUAUCCUUCCGCCUACGCACCCUUUACGCCCAGUAAGUCCGAUUAACGCUUGCACCCUCUGUAUUACCGCGGCUGCUGGCAC
rnacentral:rRNA from 1 species